AGUGAACUAGCUAACUGAAAUCGCAAUAUCGUUACUACUACUAUACUGUGACGGUAGCGUGAUAAGGUAAGGGAAAAUAAUUAUGAUAAUAGCUUACUAUUAGUGUUGUCUAAAACUGGUGCCAGAAGACUCGGUAAGGCCAGAAACACAAACGUUAAUCCUAAUAACCAGGCGUAAAGGGUUCGUAGGCAGCUUUUAAAAUAAAAAUUUAUUUUAGCUAUAUAAAAAUAUAUAAUUAUAUUAUUAUAUUAAAUUUUUAAGUUUGAAGAUAUAAUCAAAGAGAGGUUUAGCCGAUAAAUGCUUAGAGUAAGGUUUAUAUCUAUAGAUACUAGGUAGAGUUCUUAUGGUGAAAGCUAUUUUUCCACUAUUGAUUGAAGCUGAGGAACGAAGGUUUGAACAGAAAAUAGGAUUUGAUACCCAGAUAUCUCUUACUGUCAACUAUGAAUGGUAGUCAUUAGUUUUUAUAACUAGUUUCAAAGCUAACGCGUUAACCAUUCCGCCUUGAGAGUACGGUUGCAAAACUUAAACCAAAAAAAUUAGUCGGUCUCGAA
rnacentral:rRNA from 1 species